CUUACACAUGCAAGUCGAGCGGUAACAGGGGAAGCUUGCUUCCCGCUGACGAGCGGCGGACGGGUGAGUAAUGCUUAGGAAUCUGCCCAGUAGUGGGGGAUAGCCCGGGGAAACCCGGAUUAAUACCGCAUACGUCCUACGGGAGAAAGCAGGGGAUCUUCGGACCUUGCGCUAUUGGAUGAGCCUAAGUCGGAUUAGCUAGUUGGUGGGGUAAAGGCCUACCAAGGCGACGAUCCGUAGCUGGUCUGAGAGGAUGAUCAGCCACAUCGGGACUGAGACACGGCCCGAACUCCUACGGGAGGCAGCAGUGGGGAAUAUUGGACAAUGGGGGCAACCCUGAUCCAGCCAUGCCGCGUGUGUGAAGAAGGCUUUCGGGUUGUAAAGCACUUUCAGUAGGGAGGAAAACCUUAUGGCUAAUACCCAUGAGGCUUGACGUUACCUACAGAAGAAGCACCGGCUAACUCCGUGCCAGCAGCCGCGGUAAUACGGAGGGUGCAAGCGUUAAUCGGAAUUACUGGGCGUAAAGCGCGCGUAAGGUGGUUUGGUAAGCGAGAUGUGAAAGCCCCGGGCUUAACCUGGGAACGGCAUUUCGAACUGUCAGACUAGAGUGUGGUAGAGGGUAGUGGAAUUUCCUGUGUAGCGGUGAAAUGCGUAGAUAUAGGAAGGAACACCAGUGGCGAAGGCGGCUACCUGGACCAACACUGACACUGAGGUGCGAAAGCGUGGGGAGCAAACAGGAUUAGAUACCCUGGUAGUCCACGCCGUAAACGAUGUCAACUAGCCGUUGGGACUCUUGAAGUCUUAGUGGCGCAGCUAACGCACUAAGUUGACCGCCUGGGGAGUACGGCCGCAAGGUUAAAACUCAAAUGAAUUGACGGGGGCCCGCACAAGCGGUGGAGCAUGUGGUUUAAUUCGACGCAACGCGAAGAACCUUACCUGGCCUUGACAUCCAGAGAACUUUCCAGAGAUGGAUUGGUGCCUUCGGGAACUCUGAGACAGGUGCUGCAUGGCCGUCGUCAGCUCGUGUCGUGAGAUGUUGGGUUAAGUCCCGUAACGAGCGCAACCCCUAUCCCUGGUUGCUAGCAGGUAAUGCUGAGAACUCCAGGGAGACUGCCGGUGACAAACCGGAGGAAGGUGGGGAUGACGUCAGGUCAUCAUGGCCCUUACGGCCAGGGCUACACACGUGCUACAAUGGCGCGUACAGAGGGCUGCCAACUCGCGAGAGUGAGCCAAUCCCUUAAAACGCGUCGUAGUCCGGAUCGGAGUCUGCAACUCGACUCCGUGAAGUCGGAAUCGCUAGUAAUCGCGAAUCAGAAUGUCGCGGUGAAUACGUUCCCGGGCCUUGUACACACCGCCCGUCACACCAUGGGAGUGGAUUGCACCAGAAGUAGUUAGUCUAACCUUCGGGACGGACGACUAC
rnacentral:rRNA from 1 species